rnacentral:lncRNA from 1 species
GGAGAGAGGAAUGAAGGUGGGAGUGAAGAGGAGGAGGAGAGGGGCGGAGGGGGAAAGAGAGAUGAAAUGAAAUGAAGACAGCUAGAGGGAUGGAGUGGAAAUGAAAUACGCGGCAUGAGGAGAACGGGAGAGAAGGGGCUGACAAAUGAAAAGAAAAAGAGAAGUACGCAGAGAAAGGACAGGGAUUGAGUUGUCGCACCACCAGCGACGCCAGAAAAGCUCAGAGUUUACCACAGAUACCUCUUUCCACAAAACACACAUGACGUCACAGUAACACUACGGAGCAGCGAGGAGGAGAGGAACAACAAGGAACAAC